AUUGAACGCUGGCGGCAGGCCUAACACAUGCAAGUCGAACGGUAACAGGAAGAAGCUUGCUUCUUUGCUGACGAGUGGCGGACGGGUGAGUAAUGUCUGGGAAACUGCCUGAUGGAGGGGGAUAACUACUGGAAACGGUAGCUAAUACCGCAUAACGUCGCAAGACCAAAGAGGGGGACCUUCGGGCCUCUUGCCCUCGGAUGUGCCCAGAUGGGAUUAGCUAGUAGGUGGGGUAACGGCUCACCUAGGCGACGAUCCCUAGCUGGUCUGAGAGGAUGACCAGCCACACUGGAACUGAGACACGGUCCAGACUCCUACGGGAGGCAGCAGUGGGGAAUAUUGCACAAUGGGCGCAAGCCUGAUGCAGCCAUGCCGCGUGUAUGAAGAAGGCCUUCGGGUUGUAAAGUACUUUCAGCGGGGAGGAAGGGAGUAAAGUUAAUACCUUUACUCAUUGACGUUACCCGCAGAAGAAGCACCGGCUAACUCCGUG
rnacentral:rRNA from 1 species